rnacentral:rRNA from 1 species
UACGGAGGGUGCAAGCGUUAUCCGGAUUCACUGGGUUUAAAGGGUGUGUAGGCGGAUAUUUAAGUCAGUGGUGAAAUCUCAAGGCUCAACCUUGAAACUGCCAUUGAUACUAUUUAUCUUGAAUAUCGUUGAGGUAGGCGGAAUAUAUCAUGUAGCGGUGAGAUGCUUAGAUAUGAUAUAGAACACCGAUUGCGAAGGCAGCUUGCUAAACGAUUAUUGACGCUGAGGCACGAAAGCGUGGGGAUCAAACAGG